rnacentral:rRNA from 1 species
GACGAACGCUGGCGGCGUGCUUAACACAUGCAAGUCGAACGGAAAGGCCCUGCUUUUGUGGGGUGCUCGAGUGGCGAACGGGUGAGUAACACGUGAGUAACCUGCCCUUGACUUUGGGAUAACUUCAGGAAACUGGGGCUAAUACCGGAUAGGAGCUCCUGCUGCAUGGUGGGGGUUGGAAAGUUUCGGCGGUUGGGGAUGGACUCGCGGCUUAUCAGUUUGUUGGUGGGGUAGUGGCUUACCAAGGCUUUGACGGGUAGCCGGCCUGAGAGGGUGACCGGCCACAUGGGGACUGAGAUACGGCCCAGACUCCUACGGGGGGCAGCGGUGGGGAAUAUUGCACAAUGGGCGGGAGCCUGAUGCAGCAACGCCGCGGUCGGGAUGACGUCCUUCGGGUUGUAAACCGCUUUCGCCUGUGACGAAGCGUGAGUGACGGUAAUGGGUAAAGAAGCACCGGCUAACUACGUG